rnacentral:rRNA from 1 species
UUUGUAAAUGGCCGCAGUAUUUUGACUGUGCUAAGGUAGCAUAAUCAUUAGUCUCUUGAUUAGAGGCUGGUAUGAAUGGCAAGACGAGAAAAAAACUGUCUCUAGAUAAAAUUACGAAUUUCAUAUCUUACUGAAAAAGCUAAGAUGAUUUUGAAGGACGAUCAGACCCUUUGGAGCUUUAUCAAAAAAUUAUUUUAUAUUUAUUUUAAAAUAUGAAAAUAAAAACUUGAUUUUGUUGGGGCGACAGGAAGAAAAAAGUAACACUUCUUUUAUUUACCAUGAAUAUAUGAAUUACUGAUCCUUAGUGAGAGAUUAAAAGACUAAGUUACCCUAGGGAUAACAGCGUAAUCUUUUUGGAGAGUUCUUAUCGAUAAAAAGGUUUGCGACCUCGAUGUUGGAUUAAGAGAUUAGCAAGGUGCAGAAGUUUUGCUGGAAAGUCUGUUCGACUUUUAAUUUCUUACAUGAUCUGAGUUCAAA